AAAUGUCAAUGGUCAGAUCAAGACAGCAUAAAGUAUGUAAAACAAAAUGGAGUCACUCAUGUCAACCAAGAUGGCUGUCAGUCAGCCAUGAUACUUUGGGAGAAACUACCUAAGGCAGAGCAGACACAUCUUGCAAGGAGAUAUACCUAAGAUAUCUACACAUGUGAUCAGAGUAACAGUGUCUGUAAAGCAAGACCACCCAUAGAUAGGUUCCUGGGAAAACUCCCCACUUGGCAUCAGCAGUGCCAACACACUUAUCAAGAG